rnacentral:tRNA from 1 species
CUAGGGUAGAAUUCUCCACGAGACUUCGGUUUCGUAUUGAAUUCGCUUGGAACAAAGAAGCCAAAUCAGGCUUCGACAUGCGGAAUUUCGCCGUCUUCGUUUCUCUUUCUUAAAUUCCGGGCGAAAGCGCCUGGCCCGUCGGCAUCGGCCGACCGGGGCCGGUGCUUUCAAUGGGCCAACGCUUCAGGUCUUUCUCAGAUCUUUGCGGGUUCUUGGCCGCGAGGAGAUCCUCGAGGUUUCGGACCUCGGGCCUGUAGCUCAGUUGGUUAGAGCGCGCGCUUGAUAAGCGUGAGGUCGGAGGUUCAAAUCCUCCCAGGCCCACCAUCACCUGCGCUCAGCUACGCAAACCUGGUUGGUUUGGUUCGUUUGAACCAUGUCUUGACGGGGCCAUAGCUCAGCUGGGAGAGCGCCUGCUUUGCAAGCAGGAUGUCGUCGGUUCGAUCCCGUCUGGCUCCACCAAGACCUUCUUUUUGUUACCAGGUUUCGGCAGUUUUGAUGGUGGAUCGCUUGGCGAGCCACUUCCUCAUCCGCAUUAAACAGUUUUGUCACCGGGACAGCAUGCUUUGCAUGUCUGGAUUGGUCGACAUGUUAUCUGACAUCGUAAAGAGAAGAUUCAUUCCGAGUGUCCCUCAUCAGGACACGUCCCCAGAUCUGCAGGCUUGACCGCAUGCAAUCGGGAUGGAUCUCGAAGAAACUGGUUUUAACGUCAUCGAUGUUGUCCCGCGCCGAGCGGGAUGAGCAUCGAUAAUGAGAGUG